rnacentral:rRNA from 1 species
GAUGAACGCUGGCGGCGUGCCUAAUACAUGCAAGUCGAGCGAACAGAUGAGGAGCUUGCUCCUCUGACGUUAGCGGCGGACGGGUGAGUAACACGUGGAUAACCUACCUAUAAGACUGGGAUAACUUCGGGAAACCGGAGCUAAUACCGGAUAAUAUAUUGAACCGCAUGGUUCAAUAGUGAAAGACGGUUUUGCUGUCACUUAUAGAUGGAUCCGCGCCGCAUUAGCUAGUUGGUAAGGUAACGGCUUACCAAGGCAACGAUGCGUAGCCGACCUGAGAGGGUGAUCGGCCACACUGGAACUGAGACACGGUCCAGACUCCUACGGGAGGCAGCAGUAGGGAAUCUUCCGCAAUGGGCGAAAGCCUGACGGAGCAACGCCGCGUGAGUGAUGAAGGUCUUCGGUUCGUAAAACUCUGUUAUUAGGGAAGAACAAAUGUGUAAGUAACUAUGCACGUCUUGACGGUACCUAAUCAGAAAGCCACGGCUAACUACGUG